CUUUAAGGAGGAGGUGGGGGUGAGCGGAGGAGAGGCUAGGGAAGCAGAGGUUAGGGGAGGACGCUGCGGCAGUGGGGGCAGGAGCUGUUGCGGACUACCGAGGACUGUCAGACCCUCCCACGGCCAGAGGAUCUUCUGUAGCCCUGACUGACCUUAAAGUCACUAUGUAGCUGAAGAUGACCUUGAAGUUUUGCUUCUUCAGCAGUACCCCCCAGGUUCUGGGAUUGCCUGUGCGAGCUGCCUCGGUGCUGGGGAGCUGGUCCAGGGCUGUGUGAGUGCCAGGACUUUUACCAAAAACUUCAUUUAUAGAGAAAGGAUAUACUAAACUGCUUGAGAAACGUCGUCAAAUUAUAAUUGUGAACAAGACAUCUCCAUCACCACCAUUCAUUUAUCCAGAAGUGAGAGGAACAGGGAAAAAGAACCCUUCCUUAGUAACCUCUGCGCUGUAACUGGAAGGUGUGACCCAAAGAUGGUCCAUUGAAGAUGGUCCAUUGACGAUGGUCCAUUGAAGAUGGUCCAUUGAAGAUGGUCCAUUGAAGAUGGUCCAUUGACGAUGGCCCAUUGCGGAGUCCCCUGAGCACUUGGUGUGUCUUGCUUUCCACUGCUCUCCCUGUAUGUCCUCACUGAAGUCUUCCUCUCUUUCUCCUAACCCUACGUGUAAUCCUAUAUUAAAGUAUCUUUAAUAAAAAUCUCUGUUCGGCAGUGGUGGUGCACACCUUUAAUCCCAGCACUUGAGAGGCAGAGGCUGGUGGA